CUGUGCAAAGGUAGCAUAAUCAUUAGUUUUUUAAUUGAAAGCUGGAAUGAAGGGUUUGAUAAGAAAAAUACUGUCUCGGUAUUAAAUUUAAAAUUUUAUUUUUAAGUUAAAAAGCUUAAAUAGAUUAAGAAGACGAGAAGACCCUGUAGAGUUUAAUAGUAGUAAAUUUAAUAAUGUUUGAUUUAAUUUGAAUUAAGUGAGGUAGUAUUUUGUUGGGGUGAUGUGAAAAUUUAAUUAACUUUUCAUUUAUUAUAACAUUAAUUUUUGAAUAAUUGAUCCUGACUUUUGGAUUAUAAGAAAAAAUUACCUUAGGGAUAACAGCGUAAUUAUUUUAGAGAGUUCUUAUCGAAAAAAUAGAUUGCGACCUCGAUGUUGGAUUAAAAUUAAAUUUUGGUGUAGAAGCUGAAAAUUUGAGUCUGUUCGACUUUUAAAAUU
rnacentral:rRNA from 1 species